ACAAGGAGAAUCCAACUAUUUAAUUAAAACAAAGCAUCGCAAUGGUCCUUAUAAAUAUUGAUGCAAUGUGAUUUUUAUCCAAUGCUUUGAAUGUUAAAGUAAAGAAAUUCAACCAAGUGUGGAUAAACGGAAGGAGUAACAAUGUCUCUCUUAAGAUAGUCAAAUACCUUGUCAUUUAAUUAACAACAUGAAUGAAUUAAUGAGAUUCUC
rnacentral:ncRNA from 1 species